GUUUUGGUUUUUUUUUG
rnacentral:sRNA from 1 species